GGUGGCAGGUAUUGGAGCAGGAUUUGGCAUGGGAGGAGAGUGACAGGGAGCUGCACCCCAAAGCAGCUGGCUUAAAGGUGUGGUCCUGGUCUGUUCUGGUCUCACUGAACUCUGAUCUGCCUUCUUAUAAUUACGAGCCUGGACCCUGAAGGUGCUGAACUCUCAUGGGAGCUCUCCAAUCAAGAGCAUUAACAAGGAUUGAUAGUUUCAGCUCCUGAAACUGGAGGUGCUGCUUUUCUGUGAGGCAGUAGGAUGAGUGGAGAACAUGGAAGACAUGAGGACUCCUCAGAGAUAACAUCUUUCGCAGAUCAAAAAUAUCAAAGGAUUAUGGCACACAUACUCUUGCUGAUCCGUUACAUGGUAUUCUGCCAAACAAAACUGGUAAAAGGAAACAUAACAGAAAAUGAGUUUUGAGAAGCAGGCUCUUCUUUCUGUUGGCUGAGGAAGGGAUUUAUCCAGGGCUACUGCAAAGGCAAGGGGAAGCAGUGAGAAGAAUUGAGCUGGUUUAAAUGGAAAGCCAUGGAUCAGUCUACAUGUCAUCCAUUUGAGAGACGGGACAUUCAAACACCUUUCAUCCCUAUUAACUACCUGAACAACUCCAGUGAGGAGUUGUCAUGUUGACCCAGCUCAAGCAGUGCCAUUCACUUCAGCUGGUGAAGCUCUGCGUUCUGUCAACUUUGCUGUAGAACUUGAGUCAUUAAUUACAGCAGAGCACAGGAGAAUGAAGCAUGUGUGUGGAAGCUCUGUUAAGUUAUCCCAUCAGGAUCUGAUCCAAAGAAAUAAAAUGAGAUACAUCAUACAACUGAGAUAACUAUUAUUUUCUGCUGGUUCCUGGUGUAGAGGACAUUGUGAUGCUUGAUUUGAUGACUUCUGUGCAGAUCCCAUCACCACUUUCAGUUAUUUUGCAAGGGUAAGAAAAUUUGGAAACGUGGUUCACCAUUGCCUGUACUUUUUUUUAAGCCAAGAUCUAUUCUGUUUGCAACAUAUUAUGUUGUUUAAUAUACAUUAUUUUAGCAUCUUUUUACAUGUGUUUUGGGAAGGCAGAUAUAAAAGAACUUUGACUUUCUUAUUCAGACACAAUUUCUUUCUAUUGUUGGAUUAUUACAAAAAAGGUACAAAGGUGGAAGUAAAAAGGAAUAUAGUUUUUGAUAUAAAGAUGCCUUUAGAUUUUGAUCUUUAGGAAUGUAAGCAGUGCUAUACCUAUGCUUACUAGGCAUUGUAAGCUCAUCAUAUCAAUCAAUUUUAAAACUCUCUUUCACAAAACUCUUCCCUUAGCUAUGGAAGAUUCCACUAACUGGUUUUAAAAGAUCUUACAGUUACUCAGUAAAUAGCCCACAAGAAGACCUCCAUGAUAAUGUCUUCAUACGGGAUUUAUACCUGUUUCCAUUUAAUGUCUUAUUUCUCUUACAGAUCUUUUGUCCAAUUCAGAUUGAAUGCUUAUUUCAGCUUAUUUCCCAACUGUGCUGUGUCAGGGAUGAAUUCUAGGAUGUGAAGAGCGUAAGAGCAGAUCUUACCAUGAUUAACAUUAUUUGUGUCUGUCAAGUGCAUUUAAAUCUUUCCAUUGUUCAAUCAUCUCAGGGAUGUGGAGAGAAAAUUUUGAAGCUUAACCCUUUGCUCAAAAUUAACUUUGUGUUGUGGAAUCUUCUGUAAAAAUUAUUAAUCUCUCAUUAAUCCCCAUCUAGACUUGCAGUUUUCCACUUAGUACUAUGUCAUGAAAAUAACAGUCAUUUAAAAAGAAUGGAAAAACACAAUACAGCAGCUAUAGAUUUUUAUGUCCAAUGUGACUGUUUUUGUUUUUUCCCCAAGUUGUUACAACAUAUUUAACCUUAAACUAGAACUUAUUGUAGAAAUCUUAGCUAAAGAAAAGUACUUGGUAAAGACUGUCAUCCCCAGUGCUGUAUUUUUCUGUAUCGUGUGUUCAGUCAAUACUACAAACUCAGCUCUCAGGUUGUACUCAAGUACUAUUUUAGGAGAGAAUUUAUCAAAUGGCAAACAGAUAUAUAUUGCUAAAGCCAAUGCAAAUGCCAAUUUAUCAACAUUCAUUUGAAUGAUGAGAUCAAACAUCUUUUUAAUUAAAUAAAUUCAAAAAUAACCUCGUAACAUGUGGGUCUGUUGAUAUGUUUAAAGUAGCUUAUAACCUCAGAUUUCCUGAAUGGUCAUGGAAAAAGGAUAAUUGAUACUGAUUGAUCACAUAAUAAAAAUAAAUAUAUGUUAGUUACAAAAUAAA